UUUCCGUAGGUGAACCUGCGGAAGGAUCAUUACUGAGUGAGGGCCCCUCGGGGUCCAACCUCCCACCCGUGUUUAACGAACCUUGUCGCUUCGGCGGGCCCGCCUCACGGCCGCCGGGGGGCAUCUGCCCCCGGGCCCGCGCCCGCCGAAGCCACCUGUGAACGCUGUCUGAAGUAUGCAGUCUGAGACAAUUAUUAAAUUAAUUAAAACUUUCAACAACGGAUCUCUUGGUUCCG
rnacentral:misc_RNA from 1 species